UACGUAGGGGGCAAGCGUUGUCCGGAAUCAUUGGGCGUAAAGCGCGUGUAGGCGGCCCGGUAAGUCCGCUGUGAAAGUCGGGGGCUCAACCCUCGAAAGCCGGUGGAUACUGUCGGGCUCGAGUACGGGAGAGGCGAGUGGAAUUCCUGGUGUAGCGGUGAAAUGCGCAGAUAUCAGGAGGAACACCGGUGGCGAAGGCGGAUCUCUGGGCCUUACCUGACGCUCAGGUGCGAAAGCUAGGGGAGCGAACAGG
rnacentral:rRNA from 1 species